CUCCACAAAGGUAAUGAACAACCAAACACUUAUAUGGUUUCUGUUGCGAGAGGCGAACGCCCUGAUUCCAGCCUUAUGGAGGCAGACCGAACCGCCUAUAAUUGACCAAUGGAUUAAUAGGGUGGAGGAUGUCAGAAGUCUGUAGGAAUUACACUGGUCCUCUAGAAGCCUCUGUCAGAUUGGUGGAUUUCAAGCCAACCAAUCAGAGUGA